rfam:Myotis davidii contig25466, whole genome shotgun sequence.
CUGUCUCUUGUUUCAACAUGUUUGGACAGAACAG